ensembl:processed_transcript Gas5 growth arrest specific 5
UUCGGAGCUGUGCGGCACGCUGAGCAGGAAUGGCAAUGUGGACCUCUGUGAUGGGACAUCUUGUGGGAUCUCACAGCCAGGUAACUCAGUGGGGGAGGGGCAUGACUAGAACAUAAUGACCACAAAGCCCAUGAUGGUAUGAGAGUAGUGGACAGAAGGGAUUUCUGAAAAACACUUUUCUGAGGCUUUAAUUCAGCUACUGGAAAGGGUUUAGUUCCGUGAAGAAGGGGACUGACUGUUCACAUCUCUUAUUUCCAGUUCUGUGGCAAAGGAGGAUGAAGGCUUACGAGGACUCGUCAGGAAGCUGGAUAACAGAACAAGUGCAAUGUAAGUAAUUUUGUGUGUGCAUGUGGUCCCAUUACAAGGAAUACCCAAUGGCAAAUGAGCACUAAAGAUCCCUCAACACACACAUUGAAUGUAUUGUUCCCUGAGAGCAAUUGUAGAUAGAGGAGUGGGUGGGAAGUCUGAAGUCAGGGCAUUGUUUCUGCCUAUCUGAGUAGGCUGGUUUUUGAUAUUUGUGGGAGCUAGUGGUCGUUAACUCAUUUACCCCCUAUUUGGUGGACUCUGGUUCCCCCAUCUUAAGUGCUGAGUCAGGGGCCUAACCGGGCAGCUUUAACUAUUUGUUUGUUGUAGGUGCUAGAAGACCAGAAAAUGAAAUGGUGGAGUUUGAGGCUGGAUAGACAGUUUGAAAGGUACAAAUGAUGGUUUGAAUAAAGGUAUAACGCACGGGUCGCCUCAAGUGAAGGCACUGCAAACAAAAUGGUAAGUCUUUGAA